rnacentral:rRNA from 1 species
CUACGGGGGGCUGCAGUGGGGAAUAUUGCACAAUGGGCGCAAGCCUGAUGCAGCCAUGCCGCGUGUGUGAAGAAGGCCUUCGGGUUGUAAAGCACUUUCAGCGGGGAGGAAGGCGGUGAGGUUAAUAACCUCAUCGAUUGACGUUACCCGCAGAAGAAGCACCGGCUAACUCCGUGCCAGCAGCCGCGGUAAUACGGAGGGUGCAAGCGUUAAUCGGAAUUACUGGGCGUAAAGCGCACGCAGGCGGUCUGUCAAGUCGGAUGUGAAAUCCCCGGGCUCAACUUGGGAACUGCAUUCGAAACUGGCAGGCUAGAGUCUUGUAGAGGGGGGUAGAAUUCCAGGUGUAGCGGUGAAAUGCGUAGAGAUCUGGAGGAAUACCGGUGGCGAAGGCGGCCCCCUGGACAAAGACUGACGCUCAGGUGCGAAAGCGUGGGGAGCAAACAGGAUUAGAUACCCUAGUAGUC